rnacentral:lncRNA from 10 species
CCACAAGAUGAAAAGGCAAUUGUAGAAAGCAAAACUAAAAAUACAUAAAAAUACCAUAUGUACAAUACCAAUUAUCUGCAGGGCCGCUGGCCACUCUGGGCUCCUGGAGUCCUGCAUGCUCCCUGUCCUGUGGCUCCAGGAUGAUCCACCCAACCUAUGCCCCAGCCUGAAGACCUCCACACAAUCCAGGAGCUGCAAUGCCUUGGGAAUUAAUCAGGUAGUUAGCUGGAGAUUUCUGAAUCUAGCAGUGUGUAGACAAAGACAUCAAAUCACCCUCUGCUAUAGAUUGAAUGUUUAUGUCCCCUUAAUUCAUAUGCUGCAAUCAUAACUUCCAAGAUGAUGGUAUGAGGAGAUGGGGACUUUGGGAAGUAAUUAGGUCAUGAGUGCAGAGUCCUCAGAAUGGGGCUAGUGCUCUUAUAAAGUAGGCUGGAGAGAGGUCCCUUGCCUUGUGUGCCACGUGAGGACACAGUGAAAAGACGGUCAUCUAUGACCCAAGAAGUGGGCCCUCACCAGUCUCCAAGUCUGCCAACAUCUUCAUCUUGGACUUCUUCCCAACCUCCAGAACUGUGAGAAAUCAAUUUCUGUUGUUUAUAAGCCACUGAGUCUGUGGCAUUUUGUUAUAACAGCCAGAGCGGACUAAGACAACCUCAUAGAGGAAAAUUCAUGUUGACUAGUGUUUGGCUGUCUUCCUAACCUGCUAAUGCUGUUUAUUACUGACCCAAUUUAUUAAUCACAGCAAAAUGUCCCCAUUCAAGGGACUGCAUG